AAAACUUUCAACAACGGAUCUCUUGGUUCUGGCAUCGAUGAAGAACGCAGCGAAAUGCGAUAAGUAAUGUGAAUUGCAGAAUUCAGUGAAUCAUCGAAUCUUUGAACGCACAUUGCGCCCCUUGGUAUUCCGAAGGGCAUGCCUGUUCGAGCGUCAUUG
rnacentral:rRNA from 1 species